rnacentral:misc_RNA from 1 species
CAAACACAUAAGAUUAAGCAGUUUUUCAACAAGAGGCGCAUUCCGUUUUGAACAAGGAGCAUUUUUCAUCUGUGCUGAGCACAGACGUUUCGUGCCGAGCCAAUCGACCGAACUUCAAACGUACCUGCAAAACUGAUGUUCUUCCACGUUAGCUUCGCUUUGGUUUUACUCUCCAUCAUUGCUUUAACACCGAGGGGUUUGGAGCAGAAGAGCAACAAAAUGUGUGUGUUGGACAUGGAUGAAAAAGGCAAUCUUUACCUUCACAAGUUUGCACUACUCUGCAAGAACGAGAUUAUCAAGCGGCUGAUCAAUGGAUCUUAUCACCUUGCAGAACCGAGUGACGGACCGAGUUCAAUAGGUAAUUCAUUGAUAAAACUCUUUUCAUGGCAUCAAUGUAGUCCUCAAUGCAAGCAGCUUACUCUUGAAAUGAUCGUUUCACAUUUUUUGGUAAUGUAUUAUUAAGUUACGAUGAAAUAACCCAUAGAUUUUUUCAUUGAAUUUUCACUGUGGGUCACUUGCAGGAACGUUUAAUCAACAUUUAUGUCUGAGCCCUUUUCUGACUGAGAUCUUGGCGAUGUACCGGGAGGGGGGAGGAGACCAAGGUCAUUUUGGCGACAGUGCUUGUAAAAGAUCCAGUUUGCGACAAAAAUCUUGUAAAAUUAAGAAGCGAAUUUAAGGCUUCAGUUCUUGAUUUUCUUUCUUAUCGGCGUCAGGAGCCCAUCUUGACACUUAUGACGCUCGUCAGCAUUUGAGGAACGUUGCCAACCUUUUUUCCAGGAUCUCUCUUUUCCAGUACUUUCCGGAAGAGGAGGGAUCCUGAGGGAUUCUAGUAUUGUCGUGUGAUUAUAACUCAGUCUUUUUUGGCAAACGCUUCCCGUAGUCUUGAAAAAGCCAAAAACACUAAUAUUGACUUGAUAAAAAAUAAGUGUUUGUCAUGGAUAAACUCAGCUAACCUUGCUGGCUGGAUAAGUUCCAGUGCAAUACAAUACUUACAGACUUAUUUCGCAAAUGGCACCAGGAAAGCAUGUGAUGUGGAUCAUGAGACAAAACUCCAUGUCUGCCCUUUAACACCCAGGAUCGUUAUUUACCGCCGUCUGAUUGGAUAAACCUCCGAAUUAAUAAAUACCGGUGUCUCAUGGCAGUUCUAUGCUGCCAGCCAUUCAGGAAUAUUGUUGACUUCAGUUUUAGUCCGGUUCAAGCGGACUGCGUUGGCACGUCCCGAACACUUCCACAAGUUCAGUAUAGCUUACAGAGUCGACCACCCUGAGUAUUUGUAACUAAAAAUGCAGAAAUUAUUCCUGAAGAUAACACUAAUGCAAACAAUUAUAGGGCUAUUUCUUUGCUGUCUAACUUUAAAAGGAUCUUCGAAAAAUUGAUCUACUCCAGAAUGCAAUCUUUCAUUUAGCAAAAUGAUAUACUUUCUCCAUCUCAAUAUGGCUUCCGCAAAGCGCAUUCAGCGUAUUCAAUUCUUGACACUCUAAGUACCAUAUAGAAAAACAUGGACAAGCGCUUUUUCUCUUGUGGUGUAAUUAUUGACCUGAAAAAGGCUUUUGAUACAGUCGAUCAUAAAAUUCUUUUGCACAAGUUAGAUCACUAUGGUUUUCGUAGUGUUAAAAAUAAGUGGUUCUCAUCUUACUUGGAUGGUCGAACUCAAACUACGCAAAUUGGCUCUCUGAUAUAUCUAAACGGAAAAAUUAAAUAGCACUUGUGGUGUACAGAAAGGCUCAGUCCUAGGCCUAUUACUUCUCCUCAACGAUAUCCAAGAAUCCUCUGACAAUAAACUUAAACUUUUUUUUAUUUGCUGACGACACGAAUGCCGUAUAUGCUGACAAAAAUCUUAAGUUCCAUGAGUCGACUGUAAAUCAAGAACUCUGCAAGUUGUUCGAUUGGUUAACGGCUAAUAAAUUAACCUUAAAUAUUAAAAAA